GAGAAAUGAAGAGAUUAGGAAAGAAGACAUUGAAGAGAGGAGAGGAGAGGAGGUGGGAGGGCAACAUAACGCGUAAACCCUCUCGUGUAAAAGAGAGGAGAAAUUGUUUUUUUUUUGAAAGAGGAAAAGAGAAGGGAGAGACUAAGGAGAUGAGAAAAGAAAAGACAAGAAUCAAAGGAGAGGAGGUGGGAGGGCAAUAUGGCGUGAAAACCCUCUCAUGUAAAAAAGAGGAGAAAAAAUGAGGGAAGAGACAUGACAAGAUGAGGAAAAAAGACAGUAAAAGGAAGAGAGGAGAGGAGGUAGGAGAGCAAUAUGUCAUGCCAACUCUCUCAUGUAAAAGGUAAAUAUUUUUUUGUUAUUAUCAGAUUUUGUGCAGUGAUGAAUUAUACUUCUGUUAACCUCAUUUCUAAAAAAAAUGUUUUGACUUUUUCUUUUAGAGAGAGGAGAGGAGGAGGUGGAGGUGGAGGGCAAUACUAAAUGACACACAUGAAUAAUCCACCACAUUUAUUCACUGAAAAUGUAACUAUUAUUCCUCCUUGUCUGCAGUUUUUAGAAAAAGGAGAAGGCACAAUUAGAAGAGAAGAGAAAAUUCA